GAUGAACGCUAGCGAUAGGCUUAACACAUGCAAGUCGAGGGGCAGCAUGAUCUUAGCUUGCUAAGGUCGAUGGCGACCGGCGCACGGGUGCGUAACGCGUAUGCAACUUGCCUUACAGAGGGGGAUAACCCGUUGAAAGACGGACUAAAACCGCAUACACUUGUAUUAUUGCAUGAUAUUACAAGGAAAUAUUUAUAGCUGUAAGAUAGGCAUGCGUCCCAUUAGCUAGUUGGUGAGGUAACGGCUCACCAAGGCAACGAUGGGUAGGGGAACUGAGAGGUUUAUCCCCCACACUGGUACUGAGACACGGACCAGACUCCUACGGGAGGCAGCAGUGAGGAAUAUUGGUCAAUGGGCGAGAGCCUGAACCAGCCAAGUCGCGUGAAGGAAGACAGUCCUAAGGAUUGUAAACUUCUUUUAUACGGGAAUAACGGGCGAUACGAGUAUUGCAUUGAAUGUACCGUAAGAAUAAGCAUCGGCUAACUCCGUGCCAGCAGCCGCGGUAAUACGGAGGAUGCGAGCGUAUCCGGAUUUAUUGGGUUUAAAGGGUGCGUAGGUUGUUCGGUAAGUCAGCGGUGAAACCUGAGCGCUCAACGUUCAGCCUGCCGUUGAAACUGCCGGGCUUGAGUUCAGUGGCGGCAGGCGGAAUUCGUGGUGUAGCGGUGAAAUGCAUAGAUAUCACGAGGAACUCCGAUUGCGAAGGCAGCUUGCCAUACUGCGACUGACACUGAAGCACGAAGGCGUGGGUAUCAAACAGGAUUAGAUACCCUGGUAGUCCACGCAGUAAACGAUGAUUACUAGGAGUUUGCGAUAUACCGUCAAGCUUCCACAGCGAAAGCGUUAAGUAAUCCACCUGGGGAGUACGCCGGCGACGGUGAAACUCAAAGGAAUUGACGGGGGCCCGCACAAGCGGAGGAACAUGUGGUUUAAUUCGAUGAUACGCGAGGAACCUUACCCCGGAUUGAAAUGUAAAUGACGGAUGGUG
rnacentral:rRNA from 1 species